rnacentral:rRNA from 1 species
UACGUAGGGUGCGAGCGUUAAUCGGAAUUACUGGGCGUAAAGCGUGCGCAGGCGGUUUUGUAAGACAGUCGUGAAAUCCCCGGGCUCAACCUGGGAAUGGCGAUUGUGACUGCAAAGCUGGAGUGCGGCAGAGGGGGAUGGAAUUCCGCGUGUAGCAGUGAAAUGCGUAGAGAUGUGGAGGAACACCGAUGGCGAAGGCAGCCCCCUGGGAUAACACUGACGCUCAUGCACGAAAGCGUGGGGAGCAAACAGG